ensembl:lncRNA
UGCAGAAUUCAUUGUGUUUCUUCAUCCGUUUGGGUACACCACGGAGUGGUGGGAAACCGUGGUUCCAACUUUCACUGAGGCCCAGGGAUAAAGGAUUUCCACCCUGGUUCCUGUGGCGGAAACGCAGCGAGUUCCUGAAAAGGUUCCUAGUUCCUGCGGUGGAAACGAGGCUUUUUUUGGAGUCCCUGAUAGAGGAUGUAGUAAAUGUUAUCGAUCAGCGAGGAGAGUUCGAUGAUGGAAGAUGAGGCCCCAUUGAGACCAACAGCAGCUUCGAGUCGGGAACCAGCACCGGUGGCAGCACCGACAUAGUCAACUUCCAGCGAACCACCUGGGAAUCUAUUUUCUUCACAAAAAUGUAGAACCUGUGGAAGAAACAGCAUUGGGAGCAUGAGCCUCUAACUGUCCUAAUGGAGAUGCAGGAAGCAGAUGUGGAGCAGCAGGAACUGAACUGGGCUCAGCGUGAGCAGCACCUACAGUGGGUCAUCGAAGAUGUGGCACAUGCAAGGGAGCUGGAAGCAAACUUGAGGAGGGAGGACAAUGCUCAAACGGCAGCCUUCAAUUAAGCCUUCCUUGCUACACUGAGCCAGCUUGUACAGGCAUUGAAUGGCCAGCCUUCCCCGAAUCCGCUGCCUCUGGACCAUACCCCCUGUGCCAAAUAUGAUAUUUUAUACUUUGCACUACUUUGUAUUUGCACUACAUUUUACCUAUGUAUAUAGUUUGCUGUGUUGCACUGUUUUUUCAUCUUAACACUUUCAUUUCUGUAUAUAUUUUGCUAUUUUAUUGGCACAUUUUGUUAAAUUAAGUGUUGUACCUUGUUACAAAUGUAUUUGACCAUGGUUUCCAAUUUCAAGGGC